UGCCCUUUCUCCUUCCACCAUGUGGGUAUCAGGAACUGAACUCAGGUCUCCAGGCUUGGUGGUACAUCAGGAGCCACGUUCCCAGUAUCUGCCAUGAGCGUGCAGUGGGAAUGUGUGUGCUCUGGGCCGUGGGCUAACGGACAUACAAAAGAUAGGUGCUGGACUACAGGAUUACUAAAGAUAUCUGGUAACUCCCCACGAUGGUAUCACAGGGCUGCUGCAUUCGUUCAUAAACACUGAAGGUUGGCGAUCAAGGAGCAGAAUGAGUCAUCAAGGUUACAGAUGUGUUCACUGGAAUCAGGCUGCUCUCUUCAGUUCUGGAUCCUACACCACACAAGGACAUCGGUACACUCUGCUACACUCUCUCACUCUGGAGACCCAGAGAAGACCAUCCAGAGGAAGGAGGGGUGGGAUUUCCGGACACCGGACUUGUGUGCUGUUGUGGCAGGACAGACGGACAGGAAACAGGAUGUGGGCAUGAAAGGGGAAAGGUGCUCUUCAGCUCGGAAUCUGGGUGAAGCCUCUCAACAGCUGAGAAUCAAGAAUUACAACACUGUCCGUGGCAUCCAUUUAAGGCCUUGUACUCACCUGUAAACCUACAGUUUUUAGGAUCUCUCUCACCAGAAACCACACACAGUAAAAGACGGGUCCUCAACCCCCUGUGCCACCGAGCUGGCUCCUGGUGGUGUCUUAUCAGAACCCGAUGUGUAGCCACCACGAGGACUCUUGAAACACAGCUCUUCUUUCAUCAGCCCAUACCUGGGUUCUCAGGUGUGCCUCACUCUUCCCUGGGUGCCUGCC